UUUGUCUGUAGUAAUAUCUGUGCAUCCCAGGGAGUUCUGUAGGGCUCAGGCUCAUUUUCGCACGGAUGGGCUUUGCAACCUUUUAGCCUUUAUGCAGUACAACUCAAUGUCAAGCUUUUUUACUGUUCAGUGGAAACUGCCUCUCCACCAGUGACAGACUGGUCAGGAAAAAAUGCUAACCAUUGGAACAGGUUACUUACAUUCAAGUAUGGAGAUCCCAGAAGAACCAUAACUUCAUCUAUGAGUCUUAGGAGAGUGAGAAAUGUUGGGUCCUUAUAGUCAAACCUGUCCCCAAAGAGCAUGAGGAAGGUGAUGUUGAUCGGAGCGAUGCUGAAGGACCUCAGGCUGAAAGGUUCCCCUGCAAUGGGAGGAGGAGAGCAGUGUCAGAGGGACGUGGAUGCUGCAGAGCACCCCGGUGGGCUCCGGCUCACCUUUGAAGGAUUUGAUCUUCUCAAUGAGGAAGUGAAGCUCCUCACAAACCUUCCCCUCCAUCAUCUGCUUCCCCAUGCCGAGGUUGCGCAUGCUGGAGACGGUGAACCUGCGCGUUGUUCUCCACAGGUCGCCGAUGGAGAAGAACACACCUGGGGCAGGCACAGCACACCAAGCGAGUUAUGAGGCCAGUUCACAAGCGCCUCCCGCACAACUUCGUACCCGGUCAGGACCACAACUUUCUGGAAGCCAAAAUGGAGGGUGAAGACCGGGCCGUAUUCUUCCGCAAGCUGAAAGAGAGGUAAGCUGUGAUGGUCAGCAAUGAGGGAAAGUCCCUCAGUCAGCACUCCCCGGGGUUGAGCGUGGGAUGCUCUGCAUGGGUGAGCGGAGGGGUGCUCAGGUUUAUUGCCCACCCCCUGUCAGUGCAUUGCUAAUCUGAUCUCUUUGUUAAGGAGAAAGUGAAAAAAAACAUAAGUAAGUGCAACAUGUGGAGUUACAUUGGACUUCAGAUGGCGGUGCAGGUUGGCCAACCAGAGAAAGACCAGAAUAGUGCAAAUAGUGGCGCUGUUAUAUGGGACAGACCUUGCUCCUCUCCCGUGCUCCUGCUGCUGCUAGAUCAAGGGAUUGGAGCAACAACAGCUGCAGAGAAGGGUCUGCAAUGGCUGAAGGAGGGCAGUGAGCGGCCCCAGGUGCUGCCCAGCUGCAUGCACAGCCUCAGCCCACAUGGUGCAGCCUCAGCCCACGCAGAGGAAAGAGUGCAUCCCCACCUGCCCAGCAGCACCCCACCAGUGUGCCCAGCCAGCUAUACUGCAAUGCAGACACUGCUUUGGUGUUAAUCUGUGGGGUGAGAAACAGGGAUAACCCCUCUGGAUUAAUCCCAAAUUAAAAUCAAAUAUAGGUGACUGUAAAUACAACGGAGCAGGCAGUGAGAGCACGCAGAGGUCAGUCAGAAACUCAGUCUGAAGGCAAACCUGUGCCCAGCACACUGGGUGAGCUGCCCCAGAGCUGCACUGCCCAAAAGGCAGAGCAGCAAUGCAGCCUCAGCCCAGCACUGCACACCCGGCAGCUGCCUGCAUUCAGCCAGCACUGGAGCGAUGGAGCCCCACUCGAGGAGGGAGCGAUCCGCAGUGCUGGCUGUGCCAGCUGUGCCUGGCACCAACACACAGCUCCAGCAUGAGUGGGGUAAGCCGUUCUGAUUGCAAACCAAUGGAAGAGCUUCCAGGCUUCUCCUUUCUGGUUCCUCAGCUCAGUCUUCCCAUCCCACCCUUCUGCUGCUGUCUGGAUUUUAAUGCAAAUCCCUUUCUUUCCGAGGGAAAUAGGCUUUGCAGUGGGACAUCUGGAUUUGGGGUCUCUGCAUCACGACAUUCCCCCACCGCUUCUCUAGAACGCAGGGAGGGAAGUGGUUUCCAUUCACGCUAGUUCUUUCCUAAUGCUGUCCGCAUUUUCUGGGUGUCAGAGCUGUCAAAUUAAUAUUUAAAGUCCCACAAGUGCUGCAGACUUCAUGUACAUCAUCGCAAUUACAUGAAGAAAUCUCAUAUUACCCAGAGGUGUUUUUCUUAACGGUUGAUUGCUCAUAAAUGACACUGCACCAACACAGACAUUGGCUUGAAGAAGACCAGAAAGAAAAUAUUAUAAAGCAGUUUCCACACCUUUACUAUCGAGUUCAAAUUCAAAAAGACAAAAAAUCAGCACUGAUAUAGCCCAGGCAGCUUUAAAAUGCACGAGGAUCCAGGUUUGGGUUUUUUGUCCUACCUUCAUUAGUGACUUAUCUUGCCUUCUGAUGUCCACCAAGUGCAGGUUACCAAUGAUCGGAAGAGGAGUUGGACCAGGAGGCAAUUUAAACGCUGCGUUUUUAGAGCCGGUUGAAAAAUAGAGUGCAGCUAACAGCACUGCUGCACACAGCAGACCCAUUAACACAGGAUCGGAGAUAAAAGAAAUUAAGAAAGCCAUUUUUUUUUUAAGUACUACUCUGGUUUUUGGUGUUAGAAGCAAUCAAAGCGCAGCGGCAGCGCUCGGCUCCUGCCAGCUGGCUCUCUGUUUGUUCUCUGCGAUCGCUACAAGCACUCGAUUCUUAUUAAGGUUUGUAGAGUACCUAAAUAAAUACUGCAUACUCCACCCUCUUUAAACACCUCAGAGAAUGUGGUCUAAGCAGUUUGCAAAGCCUGUCCAGAAGUAAAGAGAGUUUCAAAUUACAAACCCAUGCAUGUGUGUGCAAGAACAUAUACAUGGGAAAAGGUGCUUGGCAUUCCUCUAUUGCCUCCUCCGCCCGAGACCUCCAGGUCCCUCACUGGCAGUGCUGUGACCCUCGGAACGCUGCUGACACGGGGGAAUGGAAAGGUUCCUCUGAGCGCUAUAGGAAACCCCCAGCUUUGGGUUUGGAUGGGGCUUGGGAUGUUGGGGCUGCUAAAGAGAGAAGCGGUUAGGGAAGGCUUUGACUUGGUCUGUGUCAAGUGGAGAUCAAAGGUUGUUAAUGAUGGUAACGGCCCUGUAUCCCGGGGUGCUGCAGCCCGUCGAGCUCACAGAGAGGCUGCGGAGUGCCCAGAGGGGAUGGGAUUGCAGACUUCUGAGGUGUGCAGGACAUGUAGGAGCUGGCCAUGGAAAAUUAGCACAGGUCAAGUGAUCGUGAGUGGAUUGUGUGUAAAUUAAAUGGGAAGGCAGAAUUGGAUCAGAAGUUGCUGGGGGGUUCCUCAUUUGGAAAGAGCAGCUUCUAAGAGACAGAGGGGAUAAAUUAACGAAGUUAAUGAAGCUCGCUGAGCUGGAGAGCUGCAGAACCUGAGCAUGAUGGAGAAUGGAACUAUUGUGAGUCAAAGGUAUGAAACACCUGGAGCAUGCGUUCCUCCUGAAGGUUCCCAUCCCCAGCAGAAGGGACUGAUGUCUGUCAGACUGAGCCGUGGCUGUCAGAGCGAUGCUGGAAAUAAACCGUCCAUGGAAGACAUUUGCUCAGGGUAGAAAGGGCACAGCACAGACCAGGUGAGGCAUGGGAUUCAGGGUGAAGCCAACGUCAGCAGUGAGAUCCAGCUCUGCUUUGUUCACCCCUGGAGGGGGCUGGAAAACAAAUUUGCGGAGCAAGCCUGCGAAGAAGAGGAACAGCUCCAUUUUGGCCAGGCCUUCUCCAACACAAGACCUUCGUCCUGAAAACAAGCAGGAGAGAAGUAAAUGUUAAGCAGUGGAACUGUUGGUGAUGGCAUCUGAGACCUUCUAAACUGGACACGCAGUCUGUGCAGCUGAGGUGUCUUUGUCUUUCUAUCAGCACAAGCCAGAACCAGUACCACCUUCAGUAAUUAUUGCAGUGUUUUAUUGGAUUCCACCUGCUUCUCCCCAUCCUGCAAAACAGUAUUUCUGUGGGAUCACUGCAGGAUACCGCUCAGUGUUUGCUACGGACAUUUUGGUACAGAUAACUUGUACUGGAUUUCUAUUCACUUGCCUGUCAAAUCAGUCAGUUACACACCUACUUUGGAAAGGAAAACCCCUGAAAAUACACUUGUAAAAAUCACUUUAUUACAAAUUUCCAAAGACUGAAGGAUUGUGAUGAAUUAUAUGUGAUGGGUCUGGCCACUGGAGGAAAACAUUUAAAACCAACCUCUGCUUGGGCUUAAUGUACUGUCUCUGUGCAGAGCCUGAGGUGAUACUGUCCCCCACACUUUAUGUCCUUAUCUCUAUUAGCAACAAACUGUUCUCUGAAACGUUGCUCCUUUUAAAAGCAUUGCCCUCAAACUGAUGUUCCUCCAGGAGCUUCACUCUGUCACAAACUUGGUGCUGGUGAUGCGCUUUACAAUAAGCACCCCUACAAAAGUACCUGCAGUCGGAGCCCUUGUGUCCACAGUCAACAAGCCGAGGCAGCCUGACCUAAGAAGUUAAUGCUGAGGAGUCCAGGUUGUGACAAACUUAUUUUCUAAACAGGACUGGAGAAUUCCAGCACCUCAUUUAGCACCAAGGCUCUUUUUGUCCCAGGUCUGCAGCUUCAUUCUUCUCAACACAGCACAGCAGAAGUAGUAUUAAUCCAGUUUGGGACAUAGUGGAUAGUGGGAUUAGUGGGGAGGUAUCUAGAGCCAGUGUUCCAGCAUCUCAGUUUUGGGGCUCCUGUCUUGGAGCAGAUAGAGAUGUGGGUUUAGAUAUACCAGAAUUGAAACUAGCAACAUAAUAAGUUUGCUUUGGCUUUCACCACCACGCUUCUAUUUCUGCUGUGUUCCCUUCUACCCUGUGAGGCUUUGACUCAGUCAUUACAGAAAAUGAUCUAUCAUUCUGUACACCUUUGCAGAGUGCAUAGCAUAUUAAGGCCCUGACCUUACUGGCAUGAAACUAUGAUUUCCCCCCAAGUGCAAAACAAUAACGUUUCAUUAAUCAUCCAUAACAGAAAUCCCCGUUCCCCAGACUACUGGCAAUAAUCUACAUUUUUACUUGUCUAGGAACUUGAAUUAAAGGGGAGAAAAAUGGUUUACAACAGCCCGUGGCAGUGAUGUAGCAAGAGCCUUUAUGUAAGAGCUGGCGGAGAGCUGACGGUGUGAGGGUGAGGCGAGCAGCGAGCUGCUGGAAGGAUGUUUCUCUGAGGUGUGUUCUGUGCUGGAGCUGGGAACAGCAGUCUCAAGGGCACAAAUUCCAGCGCCUGAAUGUGCUUGGUCUUGUUCAACUGAUUCAUUUCUUACAGCUAUACCAAGCUGAGCUGCAAAAUCGCCUCCUGCUUUACUCAAAGGCUUUCGCAGCUUGUGGAUAAAUUAUUUUCCAAUUAACUACGUGCUAGCUUGGAGCUGGAGGCUCUCAGAAGAUGCAGCAAGGUGAGGGAGAGAAAAGAGUCACAGUCUUUGCAAUGCUCCCAUCAAAGAAAAGAGGUUCUGGUUCCUGCUCUGACAUGGUCUGUCUUGGUGGUGCUUCCCAGAGCAGUGUGGGGUGAGUAAAACCCGUCUGCAGGUGCAUCUGUGCAGCUGACAGAUAAGCACUGACAGUGCUAAAGGUUUUCCCUGUGAUUUGACAACAUUGUAAAAGAGCAAACUUUUGCUUUAGUACAUAAUUCAUGACUAACAGCUCUGAUUCAAGCUGUUAAAUCAAGUAAAACUUGAAAGUUCAAGAUUUUCCCCACUUCAGGGAAUCACCCUUUCUGAGCCUCCUAACCCGUGGAAAGGGCUCCAGGGUAGAAUCACUGCAACUCACUGGAUCUCUACAAAUGACCCGAUCUCUCCUGUACAAGUGGCAGCUUUUUCCCAGAUCCCCCUACGCCAUGAAAGUCUCUCACUUCUUUUAAAGAUUACAUGUGAAAAGCAUUUGAUUCUUUGUCGGUGACACCGCUUUGCGGCUCUGUUUUUACUGAAUUCUUUUCGUUGGCUUAAUCUGCAAAUUAGAUUUUUUUUCUCUUAA